GACGAACGCUGGCGGCAUGCCUAAUACAUGCAAGUCGAGCGAACAGAUGAAGUGCUUGCACUUCUGACGUUAGCGGCGAACGGGUGAGUAACACGUAAGGAAUCUACCUAUAAGCGGGGGAUAACAUUCGGAAACGGGUGCUAAUACCGCAUAAUAUCUUCUUCCGCAUGGAAGAAGAUUGAAAGACGGCUCUGCUGUCACUUAUAGAUGACCUUGCGGUGCAUUAGUUAGUUGGUGGGGUAAUAGCCUACCAAGACGAUGAUGCAUAGCCGACCUGAGAGGGUGAUCGGCCACAUUGGGACUGAGACACGGCCCAAACUCCUACGGGAGGCAGCAGUAGGGAAUCUUCCGCAAUGGGCGAAAGCCUGACGGAGCAAUGCCGCGUGAGUGAAGAAGGCCUUCGGGUCGUAAAACUCUGUUAUAAGAGAAGAACAAAUUGUAGAGUAAUUGCUACAGUCUUGACGGUAUCUUAUCAGAAAGCCACGGCUAACUACGUGCCAGCCGUCGCAGUAA
rnacentral:rRNA from 1 species